rnacentral:piRNA from 1 species
UGCGCAGCUGAGGUACUUCAGUCAUGUGC